CUUUCUUCUUGUCCUGCAGCUGCUUCGCGAUGUCAUCGCGCUCGCCCCCCUGCUGGCUGGACGACGUCAUGCGGAACGAGCCCUCGCGCACGAAGGAGGUGCGGCUGGCAUCGAACGAGGCUGUGACGCCGCACUCUUUCUCGCGCCGCUGCUUCCUCUCCAGACAGGCGGCGAAGGCACAGCCCACAGCGUGGCUCAUACGCUCGCCCUAGUGACCGCAACACACCCGGUCAACACCCCUCCUCAACACCCCUGUGUGUGUACGUGGGCGCAUGCAUGUUUGCAUGUGUGUAAAACUCUAUUAUGUGUGAAUGGCCACUAAUACUGAAACAUACACAUUGACAAAUCUGAAUAUAGCCUAAAGCCAGUCAAUUUCCAUACUGGAAAAUGCUUUAUCAAACCAAAGCCAUGUCUUUGAGCAAUGACUUGACACUAUAAAAGUGGUUAUCACCCUGUAGGAAAUAUGUCUCCGAGUGCCAGGAGGUCACAGUGGAUAGGGCUAAAAGAAGCAAUUGAGAUGGAGAUAACCCUAGAGUAAUCCUAAUCUUAAUCCCUGGGUGAGCGAUAUGGGGAUUGGACUAGUUGCUGGGCCUGGGCCCACUCACACACACACACCCUCACCGAGUCCUUCAGGGCCAUGAAGCAGUGGCAGAUCCAGCGGCGCGUGGUGCCGUCACGGCAGAUGUAGGAGAAAGCCUUGUCAUAAUUGCGGUCGGGCGCACAGAAGGACACCUUCUCAAUGGUCUGGUCUACAAUGAGGUCCUAAAGACAAAGACAUUACAUUGCAGAGAAGGCUGAUUUUGCCACGUCAUAAAUGAAACGUAUCACACAUAACAUGUUAGCCUAUAGAGAAUGCAUAUGAUUAAAACACACAUACUAAAAUAUCAAAUGUAAUUAUUUGGUGAGGAAAGAUAAUCUACCGAAAAUCAACCUUUGUUACUCUGAAGCACUAGAUCUUGUUCACAGCUCUACAAAUCAUGAGGUAAAACAUGAUGCAAAACAUGAUGUAAACAUGAUGUAAAACAUGAUGUAAACAUGAUCUAAAACAUGAUGUAAACAUGAUGUAAAACAUGAUGUAAACAUGAUCUAAAACAUGAUGUAAACAUGAUGUAAAACAUGAUAUAAAACAUGAUGUAAAAUAUGAUGUAAAACAUUAUGUAAACAUGAUGUAAGACAUGAUGUAAAUUAUGAUGUAAGAUAUGAUAUAAAACAUGAUGUAAAACAUGAUGCAAACAUGAUGUAAACAUGAUGUAAAAUAUGACGUAAGACAUGACGUAAAAUAUGAUGUAAGACAUGAUGUAAAAUAUGAUGUAAGACAUGAUGAUGUAAACACUUUGUUUUUCUCUUGUUCCAGAAUCUGUAUCAGGGUCGUUCAGGAGUUUCGGCUGGUGACCAGAGGGAACUAUCAGGUGAGGAAGGGCCCCCCCCCCAUGCCGCUAGUGGCCCCUGGGCUCCCGACACACUUUGAGUCAGAGUGGAAGGAGUGGGAAACAAGAGAUGAAAGGGAAACGGGGCUCACACUCAUCUGGGAAUAGGAAGAGAGGGAUGAAUGAAGCGGGCAAGGAAUAAAUAACAGUCUAUUCAUUCAGAGCCAAUUAGUAGAUGAAGAAAGGUUGGUGGUGGAAGUGAACGUCUGGUUAUGUGUGUGUGCGAGCGCUGGACUGGGUUUCCUCUGGGUGGGUGGAGGUGAGGGGGAUAGCAAGGGGUGUGUGUGGGGUUGUGGGGGAUCACUCAUAGGCAUGUCACUGAAAAACUGAAAGGGGGCACAGUGCUGAGUCAUGUCACAUGGGUCAGAUACAGAGGCGGAGGGAGAGGGGGCUUUCUUUCUCUGUGGCGGUGGUGUUCUUUAACGCUGACUUUAAGUGGACCAGGAGAGGGAGGGAGGGGAGGGUCUUUAGGAGACUGUGCUGACUCAGUGAGGUAGGGGGUUACAAUAAAGAGGGGAGGUAGAGUGAUGCUGAGGGGGAAUGGGGGGUCUAUUUGUCUACUGCCACACAGGACACAAAAAAGACUGCGGGACUGUUUCUCCCCCCUUUCUUUUCUCUGGCCUGACAAGAAACGUGGGUAAUUGCACUCGCAAUAGAGGCCCCAGGUGGCCAGACAGUCCUGUACUGAGGUGUGCAUGUGUGUUUCUUUGUGUGUGUGUCAAAUCAAAUGUUAUGUGUGUGUGUGUACUGUGCCUCCCUCCCCAAAGCACCCUUUGACAUCCAAGUAUAUAAAAGCAUCGGACUGGUGAAAACGUUGGCUGGAGGAAGUUCCUUGCCCCAAUCCAUUCCUUUUAAAUCCAUGAGGGAGAGUGCACAAGAGAGAAGGGAGAGAAGGAGGAAGAACAGAACUGGAAUUUACAUUCAGGCUCUGUCUGAGGCCGAAGUACGAAUUUGAUGUCAAAUUCAAGUCAUGCUGUCAAUAUAUUUACAUUUUAAAUGUCAAGUUUGAAAACUCAGCAGUCCGGCCUAAAGUAAGUCUAAUCUGGCCAGCGAGGAUAAACACAGUCAUCGGGACAGGCACGAGGUAUGGUCCUUGUGCUCUGAGUGUAAGGGUGACAUCAUCAAUCUCAGCCCAGACUGAGAAUGGCAGGUGACCUGGGAAAGUGCUGGGGUAGAGAGAGACCUGCAGUGUGGGUAACGAGAGGGGGGAGAGUAGCAGCCGAAAGGGUGGUGAAGGUGAAGGGUAGAAGGGGGAGAGUAAAAAGACGAACGGGGGAGUAGGGGGAGGGUAGGGGGAGAGUAAAAGACGAACGGGGGAGUAGGGGGAGAGUAAAAGACGAACGGGGGAGUAGGGGAGGGUAGAGAGGGAGAGUAAAAGACGAACGGGGGAGUAGGGGGAGGGUAGAGGGGGAGAGUAAAAGACGAACGGGGGAGUAGGGGGAGGGUAGAGGGGGAGAGUAAAAGACGAACGGGGAGGGUGAGAGGGAGAGUAAAAGACGAACGGGGAGUAGGGGGAGAGUAAAAGACGAACGGGGGAGUAGGGGGAGGGUAGGGGGAGAGUAAAAGACGAACGGGGGAGUAGGGGGAGGGUAGAGAGGGAGUGCCAGCUUCUCUCCUGCUGAGCAGUUUUCUCUCUGUCUUUCCAACACACUUUACCUACUACAGAUGUAGGAUAAACACAGUCAUCGGGACAGGCACGAGGGUAUGGUAAUUUGAGGCAGUUUGCUACGGCAUAAAAAUGAUCCUGCAGCAACCAGAAAUGGGAAUUAUUAUGUGGAUUAUUAUUAUGGAAAUGUUUGUAGGGGUUGAAAGAUUUCCAUGUGGACAUUACAAACUUCAGAAGCCUUUUUAAACUUCAAAUACACUACACAUUUCAAAUGUCCAGCAUUGCAGGAAAGUUAUCCUGCAUCAGAGUGAUCAAAUUAUGAUCCUACAUCUGUACACUUGCUCUGUCAUACGAACUCUGGACUUACUGAGAUAGAGACCACCAGCAGGGGUAUCUAUGGUCCCAGGCUGCUGUUUCAUGUUUAGUCACUGUUGACAUCUGGAAGCAGACUUUGUGUGUUUGUAUGUAUGAUUAGCACACACUUUUAUGCAAACAGCCCUGCAGGCACACUCUUACCUUGGUUUUGUCAUCCACCACUCUGAGACCGUCUGCUGAAACCCACAGCACUGCUUUCACUGUCUUCUUGCCACUCUGUGGAGAAAGACCGAGAUAGGGAGAGAGAGAAAGCGAGAGAGGGAAAGAGAUAGGGAGAGAGAGAGAAAGCGAGAGAGGGAAAGAGAUAGGGAGAGAGAGAGAAAGCGAGAGAGGGAAAGAGAUAGGGAGAGUGAGAGAGGAGGGGUGAGAGAGAGGGAAAGAAAAAGAUAGGGAGAGAGAGAGAAAGCGAGAGAGGGAAAGAGAUAGGGAGAGUGAGAGAGGAGGGGUGAGAGAGAGGGAUAGAAAAGAUAGGGAGAGAGAGAGAAAGCGAGAGAGGGAAAGAGAUAGGGAGAGAGAGAGAGGAGGGGUGAGAGAGAGGGAAAGAAAAAGAUAGGGAGAGAGAGAGAGAGAGUGAGUGAGAGAGAGAGAGAGAGAGAGAGAGAGAGAGAGAGAAAAGAGAGGAAAAAAGAAAGGUUUUCUGCAGUAUUAUAAAUGUAAGAGUUAUAAACUUCCUCAAUAAUUGGAUUUAUACCAAAAUAUCGCACAGCUGAUCAUAUUUCCACCCUACACCCCCUGAUAGAUAAACAUGUCCACCACAAUAAGACAAAAGUGUAUGCUUGCUUUAUUGACUUCCAAAAAGUAUUUGAUUCUAUUUUGGCAUACAGGACUGUUCUAAAAGUUAAUGAAAGUGGUGUAGGGGGUAACAUAUAACAUAAUUCAAUGGCUAUACGAGUAUUAUCAAAAUGAGCAAGAAAAAAAUACAAUUCUUUAACCAGGUACGAGGCCUUCAACAGGGUUGCAAUGUCAGCCCCGCGUUCCUCAAUAUUUACAUCAAAGAAUUGGCCAAUAUAAUAGAAAAAUCCUCAGCCUCUGGUCUAAAUCUCCACAAUUCAGAGGUUAAAUGCCAGGUAUUCGCAGAUGACCUGUGGCUGCUGUCUCCCACAGCACAUGACCUACAGCAGAGCCUGGACCUGCUAGAGCAGUACUGCCAAACCUGGGCCCUGGCAGUUAACCCCAAAAAACACAAAUAAUUAUUUUCCAGAGAAGAUCCAGAUCUCAGGGAAUUAGACCAAAGUUUUCAAUUGGUAGAAAAUACAGAGUACUGCACACACUAAAAUUACUUAGGUUUAAAAAUAAGCUCAACUGGACACCUAAAUGAGACAGUAAAUGAACUGAGAGAGAAAGCACACAGGGCAUUCUACGCCAUAAAAAAUAAUAAUAAUUGAAAUACCUAUUCACAUUUGUCUAAAACGAAUUGAAUGUCUCAUUGCACUUAAUGGCAGCGAGGUGUGGGGUCCACUUGCAAAACAAGAUUUCACCCAAUGGAACAAACACUGCAUGCAGAGUUCUUUAAGAUGAUCUUACAUGUCCAGAGGAAAACUACAAGCGAUGCAUGCAGGGCAGAAUUAGGCCAAUAUCCACUGAAUAAUAAAAACAAAAAAAUAGCAAUUACGUUUUGGAAACAUCUAAAAUACAGUGACCCCCUCACAUAUUAUUACCAGGCUCUGCAAUGCCAAGAGUCCUGGGGCUGAGUUCACAAACCUGUUCUACUAACACACUGACGCCUCAGGACCAGAACAUCCAAUCAAUCAGAAUAAAUCAAAUUACAACACAGUCUAAACAAGACUACAUGACCUAUUGGGAAACACAAGCACAAAAUGCUGUGCUAUCUGACCCUAAAUCAAUAGUACACCAUGACAAACUAUUUGGCCAUGGUCACUGAUCAAAACCAUAAAAAAACCUUGACAAAGUACAGGCUUAGUAAGCACAGCCUUGCCUUUGAGGAGGGUCGACACAGGAAAACCUGGCUCCCUAUAGAGGAAAGGCUGUGCAACCACUGCACCCCGGCAGAACUCGAGACAGAGCGGCAUUUCCUGACUAAAUGUACAAAAUACAGUGUAAAACAAUUAGAGUGUCAUUUAACCAAACGUGAAACCCUUAUUUAAGGUUUCAAUGACCUCUCUGGUGAAAAUAGGCUACCAGUCCGGUUGGGCGAGGACACAGAGAACUAUGGGUGAACAGCGCACUACAUUGCUGCCUGCCAUAAGAUGAGGCACAGUGUCUGACAGACCAACCAACCUGCACAUGUCCUCUAUGCCAUUGUUAUUGUUAUUGUUGUUACUGAUUGUCCCGUUAACAAUCUUGAUUAUUAUUAUUUUGAUUGUGUUAAUAUUAUAAAUUAAUGAAUCACUUAAUUUCCAAAGUACGCUUUGGCAAUAUGUACAUUGUUACAUCAUAACAAUAAAGUCAUUCAAAUUUAAUUGUAUUGGGAGGGAGGGAUUGAGAGAGGGGGAGAGCGAGAGAGGGGAGAGCGAGAGAGGGG
ensembl:lncRNA